UACGGAGGGUGCAAGCGUUAUCCGGAUUUACUGGGUUUAAAGGGUGCGUAGGCGGUUUUUUAAGUCAGUGGUGAAAUACCCGUGCUCAACAUGGGAAUUGCCAUUGAUACUGAGGAACUUGAAUAUGAGUGAGGCAGGCGGAAUGAUGCAUGUAGCGGUGAAAUGCUUAGAUAUGUUUCAGAACACCUAUUGCGAAGGCAGCUUGCUAAUUCAUGAUUGACGCUGAGGCACGAAAGCGUGGGGAGCAAACAGGAUUAGAUACCCUGGUAGUCCACGCCCUAAACGAUGAUUACUCGUCAUUGGCGAUAUACGGUUCAGUGACUUAGCGAAAGCGUUAAGUAAUCCACCUGGGGAGUACGCUCGCAAGAGUGAA
rnacentral:rRNA from 1 species